rfam:Salmo salar isolate Sally breed double haploid chromosome ssa13, whole genome shotgun sequence.
AAUGCACCCAUUUGUAAGUCACUCUGGAUAAGAGCGUCUGCUAAAUGACGUAAA